GGACUGUAGUCUGCAACCCGACUACACGAAGCCGGAAUCGCUAGUAAUCGCGGAUCAGAAUGCCGCGGUGAAUACGUUCCCGGGUCUUGUACACACCGCCCGUCACACCAUGGGAGUCGGAAAUGCCCGAAGUCAGUGACCGAACCGAAAGGAAGGAGCUGCCGAAGGUGGAGCCGGUAACUGGGGUGAAGUCGUAACAAGGUAUC
rnacentral:rRNA from 1 species